rnacentral:rRNA from 1 species
UACAGAGGUCUCAAGCGUUGUUCGGAUUCAUUGGGCGUAAAGGGUGCGUAGGUGGCGAUGUAAGUCUGGUGUGAAAUCUCGGGGCUUAACCUCGAAAUGGCAUUGGAUACUGCGUUGCUUGAGGACUGUAGAGGAGAGUGGAAUUCACGGUGUAGCAGUGAAAUGCGUAGAUAUCGUGAGGAAGACCAGUUGCGAAGGCGACUCUCUGGGCAGUUCCUGACACUGAGGCACGAAGGCCAGGGGAGCAAAC